AUGCAUGUUUGCAUGCUUGUGCUUCUGUCUUUACAAUCUAUACUACUGCUAUUGUCAUAUCAUGGUUGUUUUGUUGCUAUCAAUAUUUGUCCCAUGUUCUGUUUCCUUGCAUGCUUACUACUACAAUCUAUACUACUGCUAUUGUCAUAUCUACUACUUGUGGCAUCUAUAUCUGCUAUUGUCAUAUCUGUGUUCACAUGUACAGUCAAACAUCUUUGUACUAAUGCUGUUGUUGUAUGGCAAACACCAGAGGCAAAUCAUAUUUGUGAUGCAGUUUAUGUAACUUGGCAUUUCUACAUGGCUUGUUUACAUUGGCAAUUAUACACUGAUGAUGAUGUUUACCUGCACUGCUUAAUUUUGUUUAUCUUGAUAUUGAUGGAAUAA
rnacentral:rRNA from 1 species